rnacentral:rRNA from 1 species
GCAGUUCGAACGGUACAGCGGGAGCUUGCUCCUGGCUGACGAGUGGCGGACGGGUGAGUAACGCGUAGGAAUCUACCCAGUAGUGGGGGACAACCCGGAGAAAUCCGGGCUAAUACCGCAUACGCCCCAAGGGGGAAAGAGGGGGACCUUCGGGCCUCUCGCUAUUGGAUGAGCCUGCGUCGGAUUAGCUAGUUGGUAGGGUAAAGGCCUACCAAGGCGACGAUCCGUAGCUGGUCUGAGAGGACGAUCAGCCACACUGGGACUGAGACACGGCCCAGACUCCUACGGGAGGCAGCAGUGGGGAAUAUUGCACAAUGGGGGUAACCCUGAUGCAGCAAUGCCGCGUGUGUGAAGAAGGCCUGCGGGUUGUAAAGCACUUUCAAUUGGGAAGAAAAGGUCAGGGCUAAUACCUCUGAUUCUUGACGUUACCUUUAGAAGAAGCACCGGCUAACUCCGUGCCAGCAGCCGCGGUAAUACGGAGGGUGCGAGCGUUAAUCGGAAUUACUGGGCGUAAAGCGUGCGUAGGCGGCCUGGCCAGUCAGAUGUGAAAGCCCCGGGCUUAACCUGGGAACUGCAUUUGAUACUACCAGGCUGGAGUGUGAUAGAGGGAAGUGGAAUUCCGGGUGUAGCGGUGAAAUGCGUAGAUAUCCGGAGGAACACCAGUGGCGAAGGCGGCUUCCUGGAUCAACCACUGACGCUGAGGUACGAAAGCGUGGGUAGCAAACAGGAUUAGAUACCCUGGGUAGU